UACAGAGGGUGCAAGCGUUGUUCGGAAUUACUGGGCGUAAAGCGCGCGCAGGCGGUCUUCCAAGUCAGUGGUGAAAGCCCGGAGCUCAACUCCGGAAUUGCCAUUGAAACUGUUGGACUUGAGUACGAGAGAGGUGAGUGGAAUUCCCAGUGUAGAGGUGAAAUUCGUAGAUAUUGGGAAGAACACCGGUGGCGAAGGCGGCUCACUGGCUCGUAACUGACGCUCAAGCGCGACAGCGUGGGGAUCAAACAGG
rnacentral:rRNA from 1 species